rnacentral:rRNA from 1 species
AGGAAUAUUGGUCAAUGGGCGGAGGCCUGAACCGGCCAUGCCGCGUGCAGGAAGACGGCCCUACGGGUUGUAAACUGCUUUUAUACCGGAAUAAACCUUCUUUCGUGAAAGAAGCUGAAUGUACGGUAAGAAUAAGGAUCGGCUAACUCCGUGCCAGCAGCCGCGGUAAUACGGAGGAUCCAAGCGUUAUCCGGAUUUAUUGGGUUUAAAGGGUGCGUAGGUGGCCUGUUAAGUCAGGAGUGAAAGACGGUAGCUCAACUAUCGCGGUGCCCUUGAUACUGACGGGCUUGAAUGAACUAGAGGUAGGCGGAAUGUGACAAGUAGCGGUGAAAUGCAUAGAUAUGUCACAGAACACCAAUUGCGAAGGCAGCUUACUAUGGUUUGAUUGACACUGAGGCACGAAAGCGUGGGGAUCAAACA